rnacentral:rRNA from 1 species
AGCAGCCGCGGUAAUUCCAGCUCCAAUAGCGUAUAUUAAAGUUGUUGCAGUUAAAAAGCUCGUAGUUGAAUUUCGGGAUCAAAUUGUCGGUCGUGCCUCGGUACGCACUGGUAUUAUUGGUUCCUACCUUCUGAAGAACCGCGAUGUCAUUAAUUUGGUGUCGUGGGGAAUCAGGACUGUUACUUUGAAAAAAUUAGAGUGUUUAAAGCAGGCUUACGCUUGAAUACAUUAGCAUGGAAUAAUGAAAUAGGACGUUUGAUUCUAUUUUGUUGGUUUCUAGGGUUGACGUAAUGAUUAAUAGGGAUAGUUGGGGGCAUUAGUAUUCAAUUGUCAGAGGUGAAAUUCUUGGAUUUAUUGAAGACUAACUACUGCGAAAGCAUUUGCCAAGGAUGUUUUCAUUAAUCAAGAACGAAAGUUAGGGGAUCGAAGACGAUCAGAUACCGUCGUAGUCUUAACCAUAAACUAUGCCGACUAGGGAUCGGAUGAUGUUAAUUUUUUAAUGACUCA